CAUAGAUGUGGUGCCAGCACGCUCCUACGAACCUGGGGCCAAGCCAAAAAUAAAUAUAAAAAUAUUAUUCAAUGUGCAAAUAAAAAGAAAACCCAAAUUAAUACGACUGGGAGGGGGACCGCUCCACCGCCCUUCACCACUUCGGAGGAGCUGGCUCUCGCCAAUAACGGAGGUCGGCCAAUGAUGGUGGAGGGGGGGGGGGGGAUGUCCUCUGACCCCACUGCCUCGACAUCCAAGGCGUUUGUAAUUUGUAUGUAUUCAUGUAUUGGCAAUGGACAUAAAUAAUUGUCUUGCUAAUCAAAUGUGAAAUGAUUGAGUGUAAAAUAAUUGUGUCAUUUUUUGUUAAAGGUACAAACAUCAUUUUGGAGGAGCCAUCGAAAAUCAAUCUCCAAUCAGAGGUAUAUAACUUUCAAAGCAAAGUAACACGUAUUCUUCUAAAUGUUUAAUUUUUGGAAAGAAUGUAUAGGUUUCCCUGAUUCUUGCAGGAGACUCUGUCGCCCUGUGACUCCAGGGCGACUAUGGACGUGAUUUUUCUUAACAAUUCUCACAGCUAUAAUAUGAAUUUGUAGAAUAAAAAAUACCUAGGCCUAAUUGUGUCACUGACAUAGCGGUUAUGUAAGGGAUAAUGGACAACACGGCACUUGACUCUCCAAGGUUAAUGUACGUUGAACGUGGGGCCACCUUUGAACUUGAAACACAGACACACUGCGCAACAGUAAGUGCACGGCUUCUUUGUGUAGCAUUGCAUUGCCUACAUACGGUCCAACAAGGACGAUCAAAUAACGAAUACCUGCUGAUGAGAAUCUGUAUCUCUCAUAAAGAAUAUCGUCAGACAAUGCCAAGGGAUCGGUU